CAUGGAGGGUGAGAAUCCCGUCUUUGACACGGACUACCAGUGCUCUGUGAUGCACUCUCGAAGAGUCGAGUUGUUUGGGAAUGCAGCUCAAAUUGGGUGGUAAAUUCCAUCUAAAGCUAAAUAUUGGCGGAAGACCGAUAGCGAACAAGUACCGUGAGGGAAAGAUAAAAAGCACUUUGGAAAGAGAGUUAAACAGUACGUGAAAUUGUUGAAGGGGAAACGCUUGAAGUCAGUCGUACCGGUGGGUAAUCAGCCUUUCGUGCGUGAUUAUGUGGAGCGUGAGGAGUUAAACACCCUCAUGCCUUCAUAUUCGUGCGUUUUGGGUGUACUUGCCCGCAUGGUAGGUUAACAUCAAUUUCGGGCGCCAUAAAAUGGUUGGGGGAAUGUAGCUUCGACCUCGGUUGAAGUGUUAUAGCCUCUGGCAGAUGUGGUGACCGGGAUUGAGGAUUGCAACGGAUACCCUUCGGGGCUACCUGUCUGAUCUCUGAUCGUUACUCUGGUGCCGAAAGCUUGCUUACGGUUAUCAAAGUUGAUGGUCAAUAGGUUAGAACGGGUUAAAUUCGUUAAGGAUGUUGACGUAAUGG
rnacentral:rRNA from 1 species